GACAGAGGGUGCAAACGUUGCUCGGAAUUACUGGGCGUAAAGGGUCUGUAGGUGGCUUGCUAAGUCAGACGUGAAAUCCCUCAGCUUAACUGGGGAACUGCGUCUGAUACUGGCGAGCUUGAGUGCAGGAGAGGAACGCGGAAUUCCAGGUGUAGCGGUGAAAUGCGUAGAUAUCUGGAGGAACACCGGUGGCGAAGGCGGCGUUCUGGACUGCAACUGACACUGAGAGACGAAAGCCAGGGGAGCAAACGGG
rnacentral:rRNA from 1 species